GUGUUGUAUGCAAGGAGAGAAGGUUAGCACUCCCCUUGACAAGAAUGGAAGAGGCCUACGGGCCUUACAACAUGCAUACGGAUAAGGCAUUGUCACCUACUUUGUGGCAUCUAACCACUGUUUGGG
ensembl:snRNA U6atac minor spliceosomal RNA